rnacentral:rRNA from 1 species
UAGAGUUUGAUCCUGGCUCAGAUUGAACGCUGGCGGCAGGCCUAACACAUGCAAGUCGAGCGGAUGAAAGGAGCUUGCUCCUGGAUUCAGCGGCGGACGGGUGAGUAAUGCCUAGGAAUCUGCCUGGUAGUGGGGGACAACGUUUCGAAAGGAACGCUAAUACCGCAUACGUCCUACGGGAGAAAGCAGGGGACCUUCGGGCCUUGCGCUAUCAGAUGAGCCUAGGUCGGAUUAGCUAGUUGGUGAGGUAAUGGCUCACCAAGGCGACGAUCCGUAACUGGUCUGAGAGGAUGAUCAGUCACACUGGAACUGAGACACGGUCCAGACUCCUACGGGAGGCAGCAGUGGGGAAUAUUGGACAAUGGGCGAAAGCCUGAUCCAGCCAUGCCGCGUGUGUGAAGAAGGUCUUCGGAUUGUAAAGCACUUUAAGUUGGGAGGAAGGGUUGUAGAUUAAUACUCUGCAAUUUUGACGUUACCGACAGAAUAAGCACCGGCUAACUCUGUGCCAGCAGCCGCGGUAAUACAGAGGGUGCAAGCGUUAAUCGGAAUUACUGGGCGUAAAGCGCGCGUAGGUGGUUUGUUAAGUUGGAUGUGAAAUCCCCGGGCUCAACCUGGGAACUGCAUCCAAAACUGGCAAGCUAGAGUAUGGUAGAGGGUGGUGGAAUUUCCUGGUCGUAAACGUAGAUAUAGGAAGGAACACCAGUGGCGAAGGCGACCACCGGAUAUAGACAC